GAUGAACGCUGGCUACAGGCUUAACACAUGCCAGUCGAGGGGAAACGACGGGGAAGCUUGCUUCCCCGGGCGUCGACCGGCGCACGGGUGAGUAACGCGUAUCCAACCUGCCUCUGACUGAGGGAUAACCCGUCGAAAGUCGGCCUAAUACCUCAUGGCAUCGUCUGCGGGCAUCCAACGACGAUUAAAGAUUUCAUCGGUCAGGGAUGGGGAUGCGUCUGAUUAGCUUGUUGGCGGGGUAACGGCCCACCAAGGCUACGAUCAGUAGGGGUUCUGAGAGGAAGGUCCCCCACAUUGGAACUGAGACACGGUCCAAACUCCUACGGGAGGCAGCAGUGAGGAAUAUUGGUCAAUGGGCGGGAGCCUGAACCAGCCAAGUAGCGUGCAGGAUGACGGCCCUAUGGGUUGUAAACUGCUUUUAUGCGGGGAGAAAGUGAGGGACGUGUCCUUCAUUGCAGGUACCGCAUGAAUAAGGACCGGCUAAUUCCGUG
rnacentral:rRNA from 1 species